rnacentral:sRNA from 1 species
AGAUGGCUCCCCUGCAUGUCUCCGGCUGAUCGCUGCCGCUCCGCCAAUACAAUAGAGCCAGCCACUACCAGCAGCCUGGCCCUCUUCCUCCUUCUCCAGAGAGACCAAUCCAGCCGAACUCGGGGUUUGCCUGAGGAGAAGGAGGAAGUGACCAUGGACACAAGUGAAAACAGACCUGAAAAUGAUGUUCCAGAACCUCCCAUGCCUAUUGCAGACCAAGUCAGCAAUGAUGACCGCCCGGAGGGCAGUGUUGAAGAUGAGGAGAAGAAAGAGGUAAACAUCCAAGCCACCUGUUGGGGCGGGUGGGCAGGAAUGGACCUAGGGGAAAGAGUAGACCACUCUAGUGAUCCCUCUUACACAGUGGGUUAACUUAAAGGAGGGAUGAGGCAGGGACUUGGAUCAGAAUAGGGCCAAGGGAGAAUUCGCUGGUUUAGCAAGGGAGACCCGUUGUGAUGGGGACAGGGCUCAUUCAUUUUCCUUUCCUUGUUGGGGAAGUAGUGCCCAGACUCUAGACGUUUGUAACUAACUGGAAAGUCUGAUAAUGGCCCUUUAUCUAAGAUUUAUGUUCAGCUUUUCCUGCUGUCUUCCCAAGCUUUUCCUGGUGGUAACUCCUUCAGCUUUCCCUCCUUUUUAAAAGCCUGAUGGAGCCCAACGCCAUCUAGUGGACAUUGGUGGUUCUCACCAGACCAGCCAUGCUGAGAAAUUUUUGUUCCUCC